UUAAAUACACAUGGAAUAAAACUUGAUCAUAAUACAACUUAUUUCCCUUAAAUACACAAUUUGUAGAGAUAAUUCAAUAUUUUCUUCAUAGUAUUCAGCUCCAUAGCAUUCUUGUUUGAUGGUGAAUGUAUGUCCCAUAUAAAAUACAAGAUUCUUAAAGUAAGAUGUUUUAGCCAAGGCGCCAUCAGGUAGUACCCACAAGAGUCUUUGUUCUACCAAGCCACCAAUCUUUUGUUUUUGGGUUGAUAAACUGUUGUGAAUAUACGAUACUUAGACUUUAUUUGUGAUAAAAUAAAUUCUUUGUAUUUACAUAGAUAAUUUACUCUCGAAAUGUUAAAUAACCUUUU
rnacentral:lncRNA from 1 species